rnacentral:tRNA from 1 species
GGGCAUGUAGCUCAGUGGUGGAGCAGCUCACCAGCUCCUGGGUUCAAUUCCUAGCCUGUCCA